CGCGCUCGGCUGCCCAUCUAGCUUCAUCCGCAUCCUUUCCCCUAUCUCUCUCCCUCCCCAUCCCCACCUCAGUGCCGACGCCUCCUCCGUGGCCGCCGCUCUCUCCCCCUCCUCCGUGGCCACCCCUCCGGCCAGUGCUCCGCGUGGAUCUCGGCGCCCUGCAGCCCCCCUAGCAGCGGCCGUGGCCCGCGGCAGCCUCUGCAGCUCCGCCGAGCUCGUGGCGCGAGCUGGCAUGGCGGCAGCGUACCGGCCCUCCGGUGGAGCGAGCUGGGCGAUCCGGUGAAGCGAGCGGCCGCAGCGGCGGAUCCGACGACGCAGCAUGUAGGGGCGGUUCUUCGUCCUCGAUGUACCCAGGUUCGCCUACUUCACCAGUGCCGUCAUCGAUGUGCUCGCCGGUGGUAGCACCGCGGUGCGCAGCGCGAGGCACGCGGCGCUCGCCCAGGCGGUGUGCGGGGAGCGCGCGGCCCCAGGCCCGGCAACGGCGCAACGCGAGCAGGCGGCUCGCGCGGCGGCGCAGCGCCAGGCGCUCGGGCACGCGAGCGCUUGGGGCGUGCGGCGGCGCUCGCUUGCUGGGCCAGCACAGAGGCGCGCACACGGCCCAGGAGGGCGUGCUCAGGCCCAGGCAGGGCGAGGCAGCCCUAGCGCGGCUUUGCACCGGGCGAGCAGGCCGCCAGUGGCAGAGGCCGGCAGGCAGGCCAGGCCUGUGCCAGCUCGGGACUGCCGCAUGCGCACGCAGGCAGGUGCACGAGGCCCAAGGAAGCAGCACUAGCAGCACAGCACGGUCCGGCCAGAUUUACACAACGGCCACAUGCCAUCCUAAUCGAUCUUUAGAGUUGAAACUCGAAGCUGGCUUAUUACAAAUGGAGCAAUUCAAUUGUCAGAGAGAGUAUAAAGUUAACCAAGUUAGCAUCAGAAGUAGAUAUGUGGUGUACUAAAGUGUGUGCUGGUUUGCUGGUUUUUGAUAGAUAUGGACAUGAAAUCGUGUUGACGGUGUAUAAAUUUCUUUCAAUUGUAUUAAUUGUUACUUGGGCUUGGCCCAUAUAUAAUUAGGCCAAAUUGGGACUUAAAAAUUGGACAUGGCCCGUGGGCCUUUCUUUUC